ensembl:lncRNA
GUCUCCUUCUCGCUGUAAGACGGACCUGCAUCCUGGACCCACGUUUAAUCUCUCCGCCAUCCGCCUUGGUCCCGAUAAGCAACAACAACAAGUCUUCAUUCUCACCGCUCGACUCCCUCAUACAUAAACUAAUUAACUCGACGUCCACACGCACACACCUGGACGUGCACGUGCAGACGGGGACAUUUCGUCCUCGUCUCCUCCCAUGCUGCCGGGUCCAGAUGAAUACAGAUGGAGGCCACGUCUCUCCGCCGUCGGUUGGACCGCAGCUCGAUAAAUAACCAGAAGCAACGAGCGAAGACGAAUGUGGAGCAACAGAUACGGGGACGGACGGUUCGGACGGCUGUCCCGUGACGUCGGCCCUCAGCGAGGAGGAGGAGGAGGACGCGGUGGAGUUUUAGGAUUCUCUGCGUUUGAUGAGACGUUUAAGAAAAGAGAGAAAUACCAGCUCUCCAAAGUCUUCACUGUUCCCCUGGAAUAGACCUGGGUAAUAUAAUAUUACACCAAUGAUGUCAAUGACUUUUCUGAACACACCAGACAUUUUCUUCAGUUGUAUUAUAUUAAAUCCUUAACAUAACAUAACUAAGGAUUAUUUAUCACACAUCCCCCUACAAUCUAAUAUCUUGACAUCUUUAAUAAGAGUUAUAAGAGAGACAUUCAUUAUUCAUCAGCCCCCAUAUGAGGAAACCUCAACCUUUGAACCGCCUACGACGGUCUUUGUCCCCUUUUACUGCUUAUUAAUAUUCUUUCAAGUCCCUGCCUGUAAGAUCUUUCUCUUUCGAGUAUUUCAAUCAAAUCUUUGGUUCAUUCUAAAAACCCGCCUGUCCGUCUCCAGUCUAUCUAAAAUAAAUAAAACAAUAACCUCCAAACCCCCCCGUGUUGAUGUUAGCAUGCUGACAUUAGCAUUCAGCUCAAAUCAUACGAGCUCAUACACCACCAGCCAGAAACAAUCUGUUUUGGUUUUUAGCUCAUAUAUUCAUGUGGGAGAUCAUGCGAAUGACCUCUGACCUCUUGGAAAAAGAGCUGCAGGGGAAUCCAACUAACAUAAUUUUGUUGCA